CGCUACACAAUGCGACACAGAUGCCCAUUGUUAACUAUUCGGAUGAAAUCUUCAGUCAGAUCUCCUUGUUGUUGCUUUCUCGUGUUUACUGUUUGGCGUCUGUUCUAAACGAUUGCAUAGUAUAUAAUAACGAGUUUAACGUGAUUGAUAUCUAUUCCACGAGAAUCGAAGAAAAUUGUGCGGGUCAAUUUCGCGUAUGCGGAAUUUUUUUAAAGCUAUAAAUAAAAUUCAUAAAACGAGAACUAGUCGGCUACAUUUCCGUGUAUUCAGUCGCAUUAUUGCGCUCCAAAUUUCUAGAGCUUCCCGAUGCUAUUUCAAGUACCAAACUACCUUCCUAUUCCCACGCUAUAAGCCUAUCGUUGUUCCAUAUUUAAAACAGCUAUGUCUACACAUCGCAGGUGAAAGAGUGUCUUCAAGGGUUAUCGAAGUGUUGCUGCACACCAAGUGCCGCAUAUCAUGAAACAAGUGGGCGAUCAAAAUGACGCAGCUGAAGGCCAUCGAUUUUUGAAUUUUUUGUAGCUGGAAAAAUUCACACCACGAAUAUUAUUUAUUAUAACUUGGAAAGGGUAAAAUUGCAAAUGGCUUUGAAGAAAGAAAAAAGACUGCAAGUACAAUUUGACAAUGAUAAUGUAAACUAGUGUAAGAAGAGGUAAGAUUUCCAGUCGAAUCGAUUUUCUAACAUCCGGGUUAACACUUGUCUAUAAUUGAUGGAAAUUCCUUUAUAAAUAUAUUUCACUUUAAUUACAGUUAAUGUAUCGAGAGGCGAACGAACUGGAGAACGGCGACUGCAUUACUCACAAGGUGCAAUAUAAGUAGCGAUGGAGAUCGUCGCAUUCGUCACGACAAGCUCAUCCUGCUGAGAGCCCUUCUCUGGAAGUUCCCAAUGGCGUUUGGCUUCUCCUUAUCCGGGGGUACAAUAACAUCGAGUGGCUCUUCGUCGGGGACAUCUUCGCCCAAUUUAACAGCAACAGCCGCCGCUGGAA